UUGCGUGGUCGGGGCUGUAGCCUCUCGCCCAUCCAUAAAAUAAAGACUAGGCAGACUCCCCGUUCGGCCCUGCCUCUCUCUCUCUUUCAGAUCUUUAUUUUCGUCGCUCCUGCAUCGCAACCAUGCCAUCUCUACCACGAUUCAAUCCUACCAGGUGCGCCGCGCCGAUGGGGCGGUGGUCGAUUCUCCGUCCAACGGAGCGGUGGAUUCUCGAACGGGGACUUAAUCUCCCUCGACCCUCUUUAAUCCAGACCAGGUUGAGCAAGGCCUAAAGGAAUUCGACGCCUUCUAAAUCAGGCUACAGAGAUUCACGCCAUGUGUGCUGAUUUUGACUUGGAUCUUGGCGCUGCAAAGUCCGACUACCACAUAGGUGUGGCUAAUGGUGUGGGUGGCUGCUUUAGCUUCUCCGGUUGUCGGAUCUAAGAGAAGGAUGUUGUCGUCAUGUUCCAAAGUUUGGUCUCGCCGUCGUUCACUUGCGCUUCAUAUAGAGGCAGUGCUCCAGGAUGAGGCUCAAGCAGGACCCUGUCUACACCCGCUUUGGUGCGACCCAUGUUUUCCUGGAACCUUCUGGUAAUCACGUUGCGCUUGUUUACUUCAUCUGAACACUGUUCAUUACUGGCGUUUUUGUUCGCUGCUUGAUCUUUGAUCAACAUUUUUUCUUCGAUUGCAGAUGCGAUGUUUGACCUGAGACCUACCCGCCCUGCCCCUUCGUUCACCAGGCGCAAGAAGGUGAACCGGACCUACAGGAGAAA